rnacentral:rRNA from 1 species
UACGGAGGAUCCGAGCGUUAUCCGGAUUUAUUGGGUUUAAAGGGUGCGCAGGCGGACUAAUAAGUCAGUGGUGAAAUUUACAUGCUUAACAUGUGACGUGCCAUUGAUACUGUUAGACUAGUAUACAAAUGACGUAGCUGGAAUGUGUUAUGUAGCGGUGAAAUGCAUAGAUAUAACACAGAACACCGAUCGUGAAGACAGGUUACGAAUUUGUGAUAGACGCUCAUGCACGAAAGCGUGGGGAUAAACAGGA